AGGGUCCUGGACCGUGGGGCAGACAGAUGAAGCCCAUGGACCCCCUUCAAAAUCACCUGUUUAAAUGCAUAACAAUUCGAAGGAUUAGAAAGGAAACCAAAGACGAGGAAACUGAGGCAGAUAGAGGCUAAAUGAUCACAGCUACCCUCAAGAAGGUUAUAAUCCAACGGAAGAAGACAAAAAAUAACCAUCACUAGAUGAAACAGCCCAGGAUAGCAGCUUAUGACUGCAAAUAGAGAAUUCCCCAUGCAUGAUCUGCAGAACAAUUAAAGGCUGACAAUCGACUAUGGCAAUGGAAGUAGUCUGUGCCCUUUCAAGAGAAAAAGAGGCUUAUUUUAUGUCUAGCGCAGAGUCACAGGAUCACAGAUUUUGAGUUAGAUGG